rnacentral:lncRNA from 1 species
UGGCGUCUCCAGUAGCACAGCAGCUGUGACAGCAAGAGCAGCUCCUCUCCAGGCUCUGCAAGAUGGGCUCCCUUUGUUCAUGACGUCAGGACAGCCACCAGCCUCUCUGGGGUGAUAUGAAGAAAUACCUGCUGUUUGCCCAUCACAAGGAAACGCAGCACAUGUAGGGUCACGUGGAAAACCACACCAUCACGCAAUAAUAAAGCCUGCAGAGAACGACCCGCAGCCCAGGCCAACUCUUUCAAUACACAAAUGAGGAAACCGAGGCCCAAGCAAAGCAACUUGACCACAAUCUCAUGGCCAAAUAGUAGUGGAAUUGGGGUAAAAUUUCCUAGUUCAGUUAAUUUUUCCAGCUAUUUUGCUUUUCCAGCAGUAUGUUGUUUAGUGCCUUACAAAUAAACGGGAAAAAACAUAUUGGGGAGUUCCUCUUGUGGCUCAGCAGGUUAAGAACCUCACAUAGUGUUGGGGAAGAUGCAGAUUCCAUCCCUGACCUCACUCAGUGGGUUAAGGAUCCGGCAUUGCUGAGAGCUGCAGUGUAGGUCAAAGAAGCAGCUCGGAUCCUGUGUUUCUGGCUUAGGCCUGCAUCUGUAGCUCCAAUUCGACCCCUAGCCUGGGAACUUCCAUAUGCUACAGGUGAGGCCCAAAAAAGACAAAAAAGAAAAAAAAAAUGCAUCUUCUGCCCCACCUCAGCCCUCCAACUCUCACACUAAAGUCUCUUCUGGCUGACACUAACCUGGACCUAUGCAAGGAAGGGAAUUUGGGGAAACACAGUUCCAGCUUAAUGGAAUUGACUCCGUAUAAAGAUUUCUCACGAACAUAGGUUACCCAUGAAAAGGAAAAGGAAUGGUUACUGCAAAGGUUUGGAUCACGCCUUUCUAAAGUUUCAAUCUGGAGUUCCCAUCAUGGCGCAGUGGUUAAUGAAACCGACUAGGAACCAUGAGGUUUCGGGUUGGAUCCCUGCCCUUGCUCAGUGGGUUAACGAUCUGGCGUUGCCGUGAGCUGUGGUGUAGGUUGCAGACGUGGCUUGGAUCCCGCGUUGCUGUGGCUCUGGCGUAAGCCGGUGGCUAUAGCUCCGAUUCGACCCCUAGUCUGGGAACCUCCAUGUGCCACAGGAGCGGCCCAAGAAAUGGCCAAAAAGACAAAUAAAUAAAUAAAUAAAGUUUCAAUCCAUCAGGAAGGGGCACACUGGGGCUUUUUGAGGGUCCUGAUUAUGUUCUCUUUCUUGACCUAGAUCACUAAUACCUGGCGUUCAUUGUACUGUUGUUCUGUAAGCUAUAAGCACACAUUUUCUAAAAGCUGUGGUAUAUGUGCUAGUCACAAUAAAAAUGCCCUUUUUUUUC